rnacentral:rRNA from 1 species
GUAGGGUGCAAGCGUUAUCCGGAANNANUGGGCGUAAAGGGCUCGUAGGCGGUNCGUCGCGUCCGGUGUGAAAGNCCAUCGCUUAACGGUGGAUNCGCGCCGGGUACGGGCGGGCUUGAGUGCGGUAGGGGAGACUGGAAUUCCCGGUGUAACGGUGGAAUGUGUAGAUAUCGGGAAGAACACCAAUGGCGAAGGCAGGUCUCUGGGCCGUCACUGACGCUGAGGAGCGAAAGCGUGGGGAGCAAACAGGAUUAGAUACCCUGGUAGUCCACGCCGUAAACGAUGAUUACUAGGUGUGGGGGGACUGACCCCUUCCGUGCCGCAGUUAACACAAUAAGUAAUCCACCUGGGGAGU